AUUGAACGCUGGCGGCAGGCCUAACACAUGCAAGUCGAACGAGUGGCGGACGGGUGAGUAAUGUCUGGGAAACUGCCCGAUGGAGGGGGAUAACUACUGGAAACGGUAGCUAAUACCGCAUACCAUCGGAUGUGCCCAGAUGGGAUUAGCUAGUAGGUGGGGUAACGGCUCACCUAGGCGACGAUCCCUAGCUGGUCUGAGAGGAUGACCGGCCAAACGGGACCUGGGACACGGUCCAACCUCCUACGGGGGGCAGCAGUGGGGAAUAUGGCAAAAUGGGCGCAAGCCUGAGGCAGCCAUGCCGGGUGUAUGAAGAGGGCUUUCGGGUUGUAAAGUACUUUCAGCGGGGAGACGUUACCCGCAGAGAAAGCACCGGCUAACUCCGGGCCGGCGGCGGCGGUAAUU
rnacentral:rRNA from 1 species